CCCCCUCAAGAUGAGAUUUCCCAAUUAGUAAGACCCCUUGAAGACGACGAGGUAGAUAGGUUGGGGGUGGAAGUGCAGUAAUGCAUGGAGCUGACCAAUACUAAUCGGUCGAGGGCUUAUCCUAAA
rnacentral:rRNA from 1 species